rnacentral:rRNA from 1 species
GACGAACGCUGGCGGCGUGCUUAACACAUGCAAGUCGAACGGGAUUUAGUAAACAGAAGCCUCGGUGGAAGAUUACUAAUGAGAGUGGCGAACGGGUGAGUAACGCGUGAGCAACCUGCCUAUGACAGUGGGAUAGCCUCGGGAAACCGGGAUUAAUACCGCAUAAAAUCGUAGAAACACAUGUUUUAACGGUCAAAGAUUUAUCGGUCAUAGAUGGGCUCGCGUCUGAUUAGCUAGUUGGUGAGAUAACAGCCCACCAAGGCGACGAUCAGUAGCCGGUCUGAGAGGAUGAACGGCCACAUUGGAACUGAGACACGGUCCAAACUCCUACGGGAGGCAGCAGUGGGGAAUAUUGCACAAUGGGGGAAACCCUGAUGCAGCGACGCCGCGUGAACGAAGAAGGUAUUCGUAUCGUAAAGUUUCUGUCCUAUGGGAAGAUAAUGACAGUACCAUAGAAGAAAGCU